rnacentral:rRNA from 1 species
GACGAACGCUGGCGGCGUGCUUAACACAUGCAAGUCGAACGGUGAACGAGGGAGCUUGCUCCCUCCGGAUCAGUGGCGAACGGGUGAGUAACACGUGAGCAAUCUGCCCCGAACUCUGGGAUAAGCGUUGGAAACGACGUCUAAUACCGGAUACGACGCGGGAGGGCAUCCUCUCCGCGUGGAAAGAACUUCGGUUCGGGCUGAGCUCGCGGCCUAUCAGCUUGUUGGUGAGGUAACGGCUCACCAAGGCGACGACGGGUAGCCGGCCUGAGAGGGUGACCGGCCACACUGGGACUGAGACACGGCCCAGACUCCUACGGGAGGCAGCAGUGGGGAAUAUUGCACAAUGGGCGCAAGCCUGAUGCAGCAACGCCGCGUGAGGGACGACGGCCUUCGGGUUGUAAACCUCUUUUAGCAGGGAAGAAGCGAAAGUGACGGUACCUGCAGAAAAAGCACCGGCUAACUACGUG